GACAGAGGAUGCAAGCGUUAUCCGGAAUGAUUGGGCGUAAAGCGUCUGUAGGUGGCUUUUUAAGUCUGCCGUCAAAUCCCAGGGCUUAACCCUGGACAGGCGGUGGAAACUACCAAGCUGGAGUACGGUAGGGGCAGAGGGAAUUUCCGGUGGAGCGGUGAAAUGCGUAGAUAUCGAGAGGAACACCUGCGGCGAAGGCGGGUUGCUGGGCUGAUACUGACGCUGAGGCGCGAAAGCCAGGGGAGCGAACGGG
rnacentral:rRNA from 1 species